rnacentral:misc_RNA from 1 species
UCCUUCUUAUCGAAGGCAGUUUUCGAAGAGUGCAUCCCUUGCGGGAUUAGCAACAUCGAAUGGGGGUUGCGCUCGUUGCGGGACUUAACCCAACAUCUCACGACACGAGCUGACGACAACCAUGCAGCACCUCUGCGGACUCCCUUGCGGGUCAGCCACUGUUUCCAACAGCUUACCAUCCGCAGUUCAAGCCCAGGUAAGGUUUUUCGCGUUGCAUCGAAUUAAUCCACAUAAUCCACCGCUUGUGCGGGUCCCCGUCAAUUCCUUUGAGUUUCAGUCUUGCGACCGUACUCCCCAGGCGGGGUACUUACUGCGUUAGCGACGGCACCGGGAGGGUCGCUCCCCCCGACGCCUAGUACCCAUCGUUUACGGCGUGGACUAC